AUUGAACGCUGGCGGCAGGCCUAACACAUGCAAGUCGAACGGCAACAGGAAGCAGCUUGCUGCUUCGCUGACGAGUGGCGGACGGGUGAGUAAUGUCUGGGAAACUGCCUGAUGGAGGGGGAUAACUACUGGAAACGGUAGCUAAUACCGCAUAACGUCGCAAGACCAAAGAGGGGGACCUUAGGGCCUCUUGCCAUCGGAUGUGCCCAGAUGGGAUUAGCUAGUAGGUGGGGUAACGGCUCACCUAGGCGACGAUCCCUAGCUGGUCUGAGAGGAUGACCAGCCACACUGGAACUGAGACACGGUCCAGACUCCUACGGGAGGCAGCAGUGGGGAAUAUUGCACAAUGGGCGCAAGCCUGAUGCAGCCAUGCCGCGCGUAUGAAGAAGGCCUUCGGGUUGUAAAGUACUUUCAGCGGGGAGGAAGGGAGUAAAGUUAAUACCUUUGCUCAUUGACGUUACCCGCAGAAGAAGCACCGGCUAACUCCGUG
rnacentral:rRNA from 1 species